UACGUAGGGUGCAAGCGUUUGUCCGGAAUUAUUGGGCGUAAAGAGCUCGUAGGCGGUCUGUCGCGUCGGCUGUGAAAACUCGGGGCUCAACCCCGAGCCUGCAGUCGAUACGGGCAGACUAGAGUGCUGUAGGGGAGACUGGAAUUCCUGGUGUAGCGGUGAAAUGCGCAGAUAUCAGGAGGAACACCGGUGGCGAAGGCGGGUCUCUGGGCAGUAACUGACGCUGAGGAGCGAAAGCGUGGGGAGCGAACAGG
rnacentral:rRNA from 1 species